ACGGCUCGGCAUCGAGCAGAGGGAAAAGGAGCAAUCCGCUUUGAGAUGGCCUCGCGUCCGAUUAGCUAGUUGGUGAGGUAACGGCCCACCAAGGCGACGAUCGGUAGCCGGACUGAGAGGUUGAACGGCCACAUUGGGACUGAGACACGGCCCAGACUCCUACGGGAGGCAGCAGUGGGGAAUAUUGCACAAUGGGGGAAACCCUGAUGCAUCGACGCCGCGUGGAGGAAGAAGGUCUUCGGAUUGUAAACUCCUGUUGUUGAGGAAGAUAAUGACGGUACUCAACAAGGAAGUGACGGCUAACUACGUGCCAGCAGCCGCGGUAAAACGUAGGUCACAAGCGUUGUCCGGAAUUACUGGGUGUAAAGGGAGCGCAGGCGGGAAGACAAGUUGGAAGUGAAAUCCAUGGGCUCAACCCAUGAACUGCUUUCAAAACUGUUUUUCUUGAGUAGUGCAGAGGUAGGCGGAAUUCCCGGUGUAGCGGUGGAAUGCGUAGAUAUCGGGAGGAACACCAGUGGCGAAGGCGGCCUACUGGGCACCAACUGACGCUGAGGCUCGAAAGUGUGGGUAGCAAACAGGAUUAGAUACCCUGGUAGUCCACACUGUAAACGAUGAUUACUAGGUGUUGGAGGAUUGACCCCUUCAGUGCCGCAGUUAACACAAUAAGUAAUCCACCUGGGGAGUACGACCGCAAGGUUGAAACUCAAAGGAAUUGACGGGGGCCCGCACAAGCAGUGGAGUAUGUGGUUUAAUUCGACGCAACGCGAAGAACCUUACCAAGUCUUGACAUCCCUUGACGAUGCUGGAAACAGUAUUUCUCUUCGGAGCAAGGAGACAGGUGGUGCAUGGUUGUCGUCAGCUCGUGUCGUGAGAUGUUGGGUUAAGUCCCGCAACGAGCGCAACCCUUAUGGUCAGUUACUACGCAAGAGGACUCUGGCCAGACUGCCGUUGACAAAACGGAGGAAGGUGGGGAUGACGUCAAAUCAUCAUGCCCUUUAUGACUUGGGCUACACACGUACUACAAUGGCGUUAAACAAAGAGAAGCAAGACCGCGAGGUGGAGCAAAACUCAGAAACAACGUCCCAGUUCGGACUGCAGGCUGCAACUCGCCUGCAUGAAGUCGGAAUUGCUAGUAAUCGCAGAUCAGCAUGCUGCGGUGAAUACGUUCCCGGGCCUUGUACACACCGCCCGUCACACCAUGAGAGCCGGGGGGACCCGAAGUCGGUAGUCUAACCGCAAGGAGGACGCCGCCGAAGGUAAAACUGGUGAUUGGGGUGAAGUCGAAACAAGGUA
rnacentral:rRNA from 1 species